CGACGAUGCGUAGGGGUUCUGAGAGGAAGGUCCCCCACACUGGUACUGAGACACGGACCAGACUCCUACGGGAGGCAGCAGUGAGGAAUAUUGGUCAAUGGGCGCGAGCCUGAACCAGCCAAGUCGCGUGAGGGAUGACGGUCCUACGGAUUGUAAACCUCUUUUGCCGGGGAGCAAGCGUGCGUUCGUGAACGCGCGUCGAGAGUACCCGGAGAAAAAGCAUCGGCUAACUCCGUGCCAGCAGCCGCGGUAAUACGGAGGAUGCGAGCGUUAUCCGGAUUUAUUGGGUUUAAAGGGUGCGUAGGCGGGAUGCCAAGUCAGCGGUAAAAAUGCGGUGCUCAACGCCGUCGAGCCGUUGAAACUGGCGUUCUUGAGUGGGCGAGAAGUAUGCGGAAUGCGUGGUGUAGCGGUGAAAUGCAUAGAUAUCACGCAGAACUCCGAUUGCGAAGGCAGCAUACCGGCGCCCUACUGACGCUGAGGCACGAAAGCGUGGGUAUCGAACAGGAUUAGAUACCCUGGUAGUCCACGCAGUAAACGAUGAGUGCUAACUGUCCGGCUCGAAUGAGCGCUGG
rnacentral:rRNA from 1 species